rnacentral:rRNA from 1 species
CCUACGGGUGGCAGCAGUGAGGAAUAUUGGUCAAUGGACGGAAGUCUGAACCAGCCAAGCCGCGUGAGGGAGGAAGGUACAGAGAAUGGUAAACCGCGUUUGUAAGGGAGUAAAGCCUGGGACGCGUCCCCGGUUGAGUGUACCUGACGAAUAAGGAUCGGCUAACUCCGUGCCAGCAGCCGCGGUAAUACGGAGGAUUCGAGCGUUAGCCGGAUUUAUUGGGUUUAAAGGGUGCGUCGGGGGGUCGCUAAGUUAGGGGUUAAAGCCCGGGGCCCAACCCCGGCCCGGCCUUUGAAACUGCCAGUCUCGAGUUUGGUUGAGGUAUGCGGAAUGCGCGGUGUAGCGGUGAAAUGCAUAGAUAUCGUGCAGAACUCCGAUUGCGAAGGCAGCAUGCC